UAUAGCUCAGCAGCACAAGCAUCUGCCUGGCAAGCACAAGGUCCUGAGUUUAAUUCUCAGUA
rnacentral:tRNA from 1 species